CUAAACUCCAGGAUCUCCAGAGCCAGAGAUGAGAAACCAUGCAUCACUGAGAUUAAAACCUCAAGAACAGGGUUCCUCAAAUUUGGCCCUACUCUACAAAGUUUUGCCCAAACUCUAAUUAAAGACACCCGAGCAAGCUAAUCAAGGUCUUCGGAGUUACUUGAAAAGUACAGGUGUGAGCUGGCAUUCCAUAAAUGCUUCGCGAGAUACCUGGCCGAUGGGUUUACAUGUGACAGAUCAGUGUGAGUUUUCUCAGCUGAAGGAGUACAGAUGCAAGGAAUGCUCCUGCUGGAAUGUCUCACUCCUCAGGGGGCUCCAGUACACUUCAAGGUCAACCAAUGGCCUGGUGUGCUAGCAGUCACCUCCUUCCACUACCAGAAUCAUCACUGUCCUUGCGCAAUAGCAGUUCCCAAGGAGACUUGCUGAGAUUCCAAAACUUCCAGGAGUGUGGAUUGAAUAAAUUUCCCUUACCAACUCUUUCCCCUUUCCUUUCCAAAGAAGGUUACGGCCGUCUACUUUUAAAGGCAUCCUAUUAUACCUCUUUUACAAGCUGUAAUAUGUAAUAAAAAGUCUCAGGUGAGCCCAGAACAUGUCUGUGAAGUGUCAGCUCAUAAUACCCCACAUAUCAUUUAUUAUAGCUAACCAUUCUGGAAUGGAGCAUAAGGUCUUUUUUGGUGCACUUUGUUUGCUGCUAUACAGCAUCACAGGUAUAGUUUUCACCAAGUUUUCUGCUACUAAGUGCAAUUAUUUAAAAAAUGAGUUAAAGGGGUCAUAUGAUGUUGCUAAAGAGAACAUUAUUUUGUGUAUUUGGUGUAAUGCAAUGUAAUGUGUUUAUGUAGUUUAAGGUUCAAAAAACAUUUACACAUAACAUAAAACAUUAUUUUCACAUAACAUAAUGUACAUUAUUGUUUCUCCUCUAUGCCCUGCCUUUCUG
ensembl:lncRNA